rnacentral:rRNA from 1 species
UACAUGCAAGUCGAGCGAAUGGAUUGAGAGCUUGCUCUCAAGAAGUUAGCGGCGGACGGGUGAGUAACACGUGGGUAACCUGCCCAUAAGACUGGGAUAACUCCGGGAAACCGGGGCUAAUACCGGAUAAUAUUUUGAACUGCAUGGUUCGAAAUUGAAAGGCGGCUUCGGCUGUCACUUAUGGAUGGACCCGCGUCGCAUUAGCUAGUUGGUGAGGUAACGGCUCACCAAGGCAACGAUGCGUAACCGACCCGAGAGGGGAGAAUCGGCCACACUGGGACUGAGACACGGCCCAGACUCCUACGGGAGGCAGCAGUAGGGAAUCUUCCGCAAUGGACGAAAGUCUGACGGAGCAACGCCGCGUGAGUGAUGAAGGCUUUCGGGUCGUAAAACUCUGUUGUUAGGGAAGAACAAGUGCUAGUUGAAUAAGCUGGCACCUUGACGGUACCUAACCAGAAAGCCACGGCUAACUACGUGCCAGCAGCCGCGGUAAUACGUAGGUGGCAAGCGUUAUCCGGAAUUAUUGGGCGUAAAGCGCGCGCAGGUGGUUUCUUAAGUCUGAUGUGAAAGCCCACGGCUCAACCGUGGAGGGUCAUUGGAAACUGGGAGACUUGAGUGCAGAAGAGGAAAGUGGAAUUCCAUGUGUAGCGGUGAAAUGCGUAGAGAUAUGGAGGAACACCAGUGGCGAAAGGCGACUUUCUGGUCUGUAACUGACACUGAGGCGCGAAAGCGUGGGGGAG